GAGCACGAACUAGUGCCGUGGUCCUUUUGGCCCCGUGAGGAGUGAAGUGAGCUUCACUGCUAAGCGGAGCCAAAAGCUCUGCGGCACUAAGCUUGUCUGCAA
rnacentral:pre_miRNA from 1 species